rnacentral:lncRNA from 1 species
CUUCCUGGUCUUCUGGAAGAGGAGAGGAAUCCCCCAAACCAAGGGGAGAGGAGUGCCAGUCAGGGAGAGAUGAGAGGUGGGGUGCUGCCCACUGGGUUGGCCCUGUGGUCAUCUUUCUCACUUUGCUGCUUCCACAGGUAUGUGAUGUCCCUGGAGGGAUGCGGCCUCUCGACCUCACUUGCCAAGUGAGGGGCAGCUCCAUGCAGUGCUGUGAGGCAGUGCACACCUGGAAGGAAUGAACUUUGAACCCAGAGGAAUAGAGUGAUGGUCUUUCAACUUACCUCCCUUUGGCGAUGACCAGCCAGUCCCGGAAAGGGAGGAGGUGCCUCUCAUGGGUCUCAGGGCUCUAGCCAGUUUGAAGCCAGCGGGCAGAGUUGUGAUGGGAAAAAGCAGCAGCUGGUGGAACCCCGGGGGAUCUGGAACCACCCCGGACCCUGCUCUUGAGCAGACACAGUGGGGUGAAGAGAGAAGUGUGCCAGCCAGUGUUCUGGGGUACCCGAUCCAACCUGGAAUUAGACUGAGAGUCGUUCUCCAUCCUUGUCCUUUCU